GAUGAAGAACGCAGCGAAAUGCGAUACGUAAUGUGAAUUGCAGAAUUCAGUGAAUCAUCGAAUCUUUGAACGCAUAUUGCGCUCUCUGGUAUUCCGGAGAGCAUGCUUGUUUGAGUAUCAGUAAACACCUCAACUUCCAUAUCUUUUUUGAAAUGGGAGUUGGACUUGAGUGAUCCCAACGCUUUUCCUCACCGAAAAGUGGCGGGUUACUUGAAAUGCAGGUGCAGCUGGACUUUUCUCUGAGCUAUAAGCAUAUCUAUUUAGUCUGCCUAAAAAACAGAUUAUUACCUUUGCUGCAGCUAACAUAAAGGAGAUUAGUUCUUGUGCUGACUGAUGCAGGAUUCACAAAGACAGGCUUCGGCCGACUUUGUAAACUCGAUCUCAAAUCAAGUAAGACUACCAGCUGAACUUAAGCAUAUCAAUAAGCGGAGGA
rnacentral:misc_RNA from 1 species